rnacentral:rRNA from 1 species
GGGCCCGCACAAGCGGUGGAGCAUGUGGUUUAAUUCGAUGAUACGCGAGGAACCUUACCAGGGCUUAAAUGUAGUAUGACCGGCUUGGAAACAGGCCUUCUCUUCGGAGCAGAUUACAAGGUGCUGCAUGGUUGUCGUCAGCUCGUGCCGUGAGGUGUUAGGUUAAGUCCUGCAACGAGCGCAACCCCUAUUCUUAGUUGCCAGCGGUUCGGCCGGGGACUCUAAGAAGACUGCCAGCGCAAGCUGAGAGGAAGGUGGGGAUGACGUCAAAUCAUCACGGCCCUUACGUCCUGGGCUACACACGUGCUACAAUGGUAGUGACAAUGGGUUAAUCCCAAAAAGCUAUCUCA